rnacentral:lncRNA from 1 species
CAUGUUCCUCCAGCACAACAUGAUUUUCCUGCUUUAAUUGUCUCAUCCUGAUCAAAGCAUCCUGCGUCACUCAAAACGCAGAUUAAAUCAUAAACAUAUAUCAAGUAGUUUCAUCAUCAAAAUACGAGAUUCAACACAUCUCACGGGAGCCCUCUAAGAAGGAGAACCAUCGAUCGGUCACCCCUCUGCCGGACCCAGAGAUCAGCACCUCCCCAUCCUCAAAGACGGGGGAAUCUCGGCUUCAACGCCAGAUCGUUACUGGCGCUUGUUUAAUGACCCACGGUUGUCGCCCCUCGGAAUUACCGCAGGACCCUCGACCGUGUCGCCCGAG